CCUACGGGGGCUGCAGUGGGGAAUAUUGGACAAUGGGCGAAAGCCUGAUCCAGCCAUGCCGCGUGUGUGAAGAAGGCCUUCGGGUUGUAAAGCACUUUCAGUGGGGAAGAAAGCCUUGGGGCUAAUACCCUCGAGGAAGGACAUCACCCACAGAAGAAGCACCGGCUAACUCCGUGCCAGCAGCCGCGGUAAUACGGAGGGUGCGAGCGUUAAUCGGAAUUACUGGGCGUAAAGCGCGCGUAGGCGGUCUGAUAAGCCGGUUGUGAAAGCCCCGGGCUCAACCUGGGAACGGCAUCCGGAACUGUCAGGCUAGAGUGCAGGAGAGGAAGGUAGAAUUCCCGGUGUAGCGGUGAAAUGCGUAGAGAUCGGGAGGAAUACCAGCGGCGAAGGCGGCCUUCUGGACUGACACUGACGCUGAGGUGCGAAAGCGUGGGUAGCAAACAGGAUUAGAUACCCGGGUAGUC
rnacentral:rRNA from 1 species